AUUGAACGCUGGCGGCAGGCCUAACACAUGCCAGUCGAACGGUAACAGGAGGCAGCUUGCUGCUUCGCUGACGAGUGGCGGACGGGUGAGUAAUGUCUGGGAAACUGCCUGAUGGAGGGGGAUAACUACUGGAAACGGUAGCUAAUACCGCAUAACGUCGCAAGACCAAAGAGGGGGACCUUAGGGCCUCUUGCCAUCGGAUGUGCCCAGAUGGGAUUAGCUAGUAGGUGGGGUAACGGCUCACCUAGGCGACGAUCCCUAGCUGGUCUGAGAGGAUGACCAGCCACACUGGAACUGAGACACGGUCCAGACUCCUACGGGAGGCAGCAGUGGGGAAUAUUGCACAAUGGGCACAAGCCUGAUGCAGCCAUGCCGCGUGUAUGAAGAAGGCCUUCGGGUUGUAAAGUACUUUCAGCGGGGAGGAAGGGAGUAAAGUUAAUACCUUUGCUCAUUGACGUUACCCGCAGAAGAAGCACCGGCUAACUCCGUG
rnacentral:rRNA from 1 species